rnacentral:misc_RNA from 1 species
UUAGGCAGCGACAUCCGCUUGUUCAUUCUUGCUCAGGACUUGCCCAAGAUCAUCUUGACUUGGCUCUUAUUGGUACACUGUGUUGCAUGCCAACAUUUAUGGAAUUUUUGUCGCUGCCGUUUGUCCCAAAAUUCACCUUGUGCUGCUCAUGUGGUGCGGGGUGAACAAUGUAGUGCCUCGUGAUGCCCUGGCCUUCUUCACUUCUUGUGAUGUGAUGUCGGUUUGGGCGACACGGGAUACUCGAUCUCUCGGAUACAGAAAGUAAUGUUGGGCGUAUGGGGUCUAGCACUCCGUAAGCCCAGAUUGAGUGCUCUCGCCAACGACGUUGUCUUCCAGUGUCUCCAACUGUUGGGAAAAGCGCUGGUUGCCGUCGUUGGGCAGAGAGUGUCGAAAGACAAACUGUCGAACCUCGUUCCUUAGGGGUCCGGAGGCGCACGAACGUACGAUCGAAGGCUCCUCGGGCCGGGGUAUAUCGACAUGUUUGCCAAGGAAU